rnacentral:RNase_P_RNA from 2 species
GCAGUGUCUCGGUCUGCCGCUGGUGCUCAUAAGGGCACGAGAGGAAAGUCCGGGCAGCAUAGGACGCUCCACUGGUGAAAGUGCCAGCAGUUGGUGACAGCUGGAUAUGGAAGAAGAGAAUAACCGCUUCCCGCAAGGGUAGCAAGGGUGAGAAGGUGGUGUAAGAGACUACCAGCCGGCGGGUGAUCGUCGGGCUGUUCCAUCUGGAGGCUGCAAGUUCGCGUAUACCAUCGUUUGAGGGCUGUCCGUCCGAGGUGCAAACCACGAUGGAGGGUAGAAUGCUUCAGUCGUAGGGUAACCUGCGAAGUAGAUAAAUGGCAGACGCCUCGCAAGAGGUACAGAACCCGGCUUAUAGGGACAGUGCUUUC